UGGGGAAUUUUCCGCAAUGGGCGAAAGCCUGACGGAGCAAUACCGCGUGAGGGAUGAAAGCCUGUGGGUUGUAAACCUCUUUUCUCAAGGAAGAAAUUCUGACGGUACUUGAGGAAUAAGCAUCGGCUAACUCUGUGCCAGCAGCCGCGGUAAUACAGAGGAUGCAAGCGUUAUCCGGAAUCACUGGGCAUAAAGCGUCUGUAGGUCGCUUGCCAAGUCUGCUGUUAAAGAUCAGGGCCUAACCCUGGGAAAGCAGUGGAAACUAGCAAGCUUGAGUGUGGUAGAGGUAGAGGGAAUUCCUGGUGUAGCGGUGAAAUGCGUAGAUAUUAGGAAGAACACCAAUGGCGAAAGCACUCUACUGGGCCAUAACUGACACUGAGAGACGACAGCUAGGGGAGCAAAUGGG
rnacentral:rRNA from 1 species